ensembl:lncRNA
GUCGGAUCAAAAAACUGUCUCACGAUACCUUUGCGUGUGCGUCUGAAGAUGUCGUGUGCAAAGUUUGGUGUCGAUUGGUCAAGAAAUGUGGGAGGAGUAGGGAAAAAACAUUUUUGCGGUUUUCGCGAUUUUGCGAAAAAAAAAUUUAGACGCAAAUGGGCGUGGCCUAUGCCAAAAGAUGCAUCAGACUCCAGUGAAUCUGUGUGUGCAAGGUUUUGAAUGUGGGAGGUUCGGUGUGGGAGUUAUAGCCCCAAACGCGUAUUCCUUGGUAUAGCGCCACCUAGUGGCCGGCAUGUCUGGA